GUUUUAUACAGAAGCGGCGAGAGACUAGGCUCCCUGACCCGCUGGCAACCUUCGACCGCGCGAAAGGUGCCAAUUCCUACCCACCACCGGCGCAAUCCGGGGCGGGGAAUAUGAAUC
rfam:Hymenobacter sp. CCM 8643 NODE_38_length_33602_cov_279.083_ID_75, whole genome shotgun sequence.